AUGCUGAUUUAGGCAGCAUAUUCCCAAAAAUUGAGACAAUACAGAGAUUAACCUGGCACCUGCUCAAAGAUAGCAUGCUAAUAAGUGAAGCCUUCCUUAUUUUA
ensembl:snRNA U6 U6 spliceosomal RNA